rnacentral:snRNA from 1 species
AUCCGUACUUGGUGCCGGGGCCUCGAUCGCCGAUGUCGAGCCCCCAGGGCGAGGCGCGGGCUUUGCAUUGCGCUCGCGGUGGCCCCUGUGACUACCCCGAACUGGGCAGAUUGGGCAUGCAAAUUGC